rnacentral:rRNA from 1 species
ACGGAAGGCAGCAGUGGGGAAUAUUGCACAAUGGGGGAAACCCUGAUGCAGCGACGCCGCGUGGGUGAAGAAGUAUUUCGGUAUGUAAAGCUCUAUCAGCAGGAAAGAAAAUGACGGUACCUGACUAAGAAGCCCCGGCUAACUACGUGCCAGCAGCCGCGGUAAUACGUAGGGGGCAAGCGUUAUCCGGAUUUACUGGGUGUAAAGGGAGCGUAGACGGCUUUGCAAGUCUGAAGUGAAAGCCCGGGGCUCAACCCCGGAACUGCUUUGGAAACUGUAGAGCUAGAGUGCAGGAGAGGUAAGUGGAAUUCCUAGUGUAGCGGUGAAAUGCGUAGAUAUUAGGAGGAACACCAGUGGCGAAGGCGGCUUACUGGACUGUAACUGACGUUGAGGCUCGAAGGCGUGGGGAGCAAACAGGAUUAGAUACCCUGGUA